GUUGGUUGUGGAGCUGCGCAGGCGCAGGUACUUGCCCACCGGCUGCCGGAUCCUGCCCGGCGUAUCUGAGCGUUGCGGGCCGGAUCGUGGCGGAUGCGACACUCAUCCCAAAUUCUCUAGGAUUGGAAGUUGAGCACUGUGGUCAGGUGAAAGGAAGGAGAGAAACACAGGAUCUCUAUUCCUUGAGGACACCAGGCAGCCUUCCUCGGGGCCUUUGCGAGGGAACUGGACCACUGAAUUAUUCCUCCAAAGAGGCAGGAAUCCUCCUCUAGGGUUGCAGGAGCAGGUGACAGCAUGAUCCUUGAUGAAUGAGCUCAUCUAAUACCCCUUCACUUUCUUAUUCAAGGAGAGGAGAGCCUCGUAGAGGAGAGGAUCAGAUGGCAAAGGAAGACAGUCAGUUUGCAGCCAGGAUGAAAGAUGUCAACUGUCCUGAGUGUCUGUACACCUUAGAGAGUUACCAGCAGACAACACCGUCUUCAUUUGAAUUUUCUGCCAGGACACAAGGGAAGGACCCCAGAAAGGAGAACUCAGCCUGCAGGAUCAGAUGCUGCUUUCUAGAGGUGAUGUCCAGUCUCAGGGUAAAGCGCAGGAUUGUGGUAAAGGAAUGGUGAGAAGAGGUACUGGACGGUGAGGUGAUCCAGACUGAAGCUUCGGGAGGCGGGUGGGCGGGCAUGAAGCUUGCUGAGGAAGUUGUCCCCACCAAGAGCUGUCUGUUCUGUCGGGUCCUUGGAGUGGACUGGAGGACUCAGAGCAGAGUCCUGGCCCGGGCCCCUCUGAGGGGAAGCACACCCGGCCUGUUUCAGCCCCGGGCAGGUGAGCACGUGGCGGAGGAAGGGAGCGCGAGCCAGGGGCAUGAAGGAAUGUCAACGGAGGCCAAAGGGCGAGGUCCAACGGCCCAACUCCAACCGGACGCUCGAGCCACGCGGGCCUUGGUUCGCUUGGUUGCGGGCGUUUGGCACCCAGUGAGCCGCCUUGAGCGGAGAUGGUACAGGACUGUGGAAGCUUGCGUGGCACCUGUCCCGGGCAGGGCUGCAGCAACCCGUGUGCCAGCCCUUUCCCCUGGGGUCGCUGGAGAGACCCAUACCCUGCCCAGAGCCUGAGGCAGGAGCAGUCCAGAUCCUCCCAGGGUAGCACGGGAGUCCUGAUGGCGUCCCCUCCAAGUAACUGCAGCGCCUCUCCAAGUCGCGGAGGCAGGCGGGACUUCUCCGUGGUUGUCGUGGACAGGUAUGAACGCACAGUCAGCACCUGGGCUGUGAAGAUGUCGGACGUGGGGACCAGGUGCUCAGACCUUCCUGGAUGCUGCUUCCUGCAACAUUUAAACCUCAGAACCUUCCUCAGCUCAGCUGGCCUCAGGUGGUAAUGGCUCUGCCAGGAUUUGACCUGGGCUGUCCGGUUCCAGAGCUCCCGAAUGUAACCACCUGAACGGUGGUGUCUCCUUACCGUGUGGGAGCGUAUCCCGUUCCUUACAGGCUUUAGGGUACUUAUCCUGGGGCACACCCAUAGUGAAUAUAGCCACUACUUACUAGAAGGUCUUCUUUAGCUCAACUCAUAAGGGCUAUGCUGGACACCAGUGUCCACAGAAGAUGUGGGCCAGGGACUGCUGGUUGACGUUUCCCAUAGGACGUUUCUUUUCAAAUCGACCUUGCAGCCAAGCGCGCAGCUGUCUGUGCCGGGGCAGGGGACGGCACAGCACGCGGGCGCAAGAUGCUCCCCGGCUUAAAAUCCCUGUGCCCUGAGGGUACCAGCAUCUUGUAAUAAUUCCAUAGACCAGAUUUCAGGGUCCUGGCCAAGACUGACAACUUAACCAAUAUUAACAUUUCCACUCUACUGCAUUAGAUGAAUCUCCGUGUAUUUUGAUCCUUUUGAUUUUCACUCAACAAUUUUUUUUUUUUUUUUUGUAGAGACAGAGUCUCACUUUAUGGCCCUCUGUAGAGUGCCAUGGCAUCACACAGCUCACAGCAACCUCCAACUCCUGGGCUUAAGCAAUUCUCUUGCCUCAGCCUCCCAAGUAGCUGGGACUACAGGCGCCCGCCACAACACCCAGCUAUUUUUUGGUUGCAGUUCAGCCGGGGCCGGGUUUGAACCCGCCACCCUCUGUAUAUGGGGCCAGCGCCUUACCAACUGAGCCACAGGCACUCGACAAUGUUUUAUAGCAAGGAUCAGCAAAUUAUGGGCCUUGGGGGCCAAAUUUGCUCUAGAGCCUAUUUUUAUGAGGCCAGUGAGCUAAGAAUGAUGUCAACAUCUUUAAUGGGUCAUAACAAACUAAAAACAACAAAAAGACCCCUGAGAAGUAUAUGACAGAGACCAUCUCUGAAGUGCAAAGCCUUCCCAUAUCCUUUACUAUCCUGGCCAUUUCCAGAGAAAGCUUGCAGCUACUGCUUUAGAGUUUUCUAUGUAUAGUCUUGCUUAGCUUUUGUUAAUUGAUUCUUAAGCAUAUUGUGAGAUUUUCAAAUAAUUUAACUGAUGUCUUUUAAGUUAAGUGUUCGAGAGUUUACUGGCAGUGCACGGAAAAUGCACACACACAUAUAUACACAUAUGAGGUCUGUGUGAACCCAUCCUAGAAAAAGUGCUACAUACCCCAUUGCUGAAUAUCAUUGUGGUCAUCUUCGUAGUACUCCUCUUGGGAAAAUAUGCACCAGCACCAGCACUUAGUCCACUCUUCAAAGCAAUUUUGGAGCUCUUUUUCUGGAAUUACCAUCAGAGCUGUAGGUAUGUAGCUUUUUCUGGGAUGUGUUUGCAAACUUAAUUGUUAAGACCUCUCUCUCCCUCCUCUCUCUCUCUCUUUCUACACAUACACACAUACACACAGUACUUGUACACACACACAUUUUGUAGCCUGAAGCUUUCUUAAUUCACUUUUUAUUAUUGAUAGUAUCUUCAUGGAUGCCUUUGGGUUUUCUCCAUACAUACAGUAUUUUCUGUGAAUCAGGUACCUCUGAAUGAAGUCAGUUUUACUUCUGUUUGAAUCUGCAUGCCUUUUAUUUAUUUAUUUUUUCUUACCUUCUACAUUGGCAGAGACUAACAAACAUCAGCACAGCAACGUUGGGUAUUUCUCUUCUAACUGAGCCUUGUAGGUGACUACAGAGCUGUAUAUGGUUAUUUUCUCCCAGAGUAAGGACAUGAGAUACAUGUGAGGCCAUCAGAUCCAACAGCCGGUCCUGCAUCCUUGCCAGCUGGUUGACUGCCCUGCCCCUUAGGCCUGCUUCGCUGCACCUGGGGUUCUCUGGCCCCUGUUGCUGCCUCCUGGUCCCUGGUCCACCACCCACAAGUUGAGCUGGCGCUACCAUGGCCCUGGCCCUCUGCCAAUCAGUAGCAUUCCUAUACAGCAAUGACGAUCUAAUGGAGAACCAAAUCAAGAAGUAGACCACUAUCUCAAGACCAGUGUGUUGACUUCUGCUCAGCCUCAUCUAAAACCUUACGCAUACCCUUUGAAAUAGACACAAACACCCUGAGGUGUUGGGCCUCCAGCUUGCUCUAGGAUGAGAGAGGGCAGGUUAAUAUAACUAGCAGGGGCUGAGCCUCUUUCCAUUUGUGGCAAUUAGUGGUUUCCCACCAUUUCUGUGUAACUUUUGCUUAUAGUUGCUGAGAUAUUGUUUCUUUCACUAGAAGAAUAUGAGUGGUUUGGUCAUGCAACACUUCUGUCUCCAAAGAAACCCUGGGCAUGAGAUCAAGGUGCCCCAAGGCAAAACCACUGCUUGCCAUCCUCAUGCCAGAGGAACAUUUGUCCUGAAAGACAGCAGCUAAAAAAGUGCUGAGGGUUUGUUGUUCACCACUCCAAGUCAAAGGGAAGACUCUGUCUAGGGCCCAGGUUGUCUGAGUGAAUGCAGGAAUAGAAGCAUCUUCCUACAAGUAACUCUGUUAACAGAUAUGCUCCUGUGACACUGUAACAGAUGUGCUCUGACCAUGAGCACCUCGACUGCUCUGAAUGAUAGUGGGAACAGAAGUGUCCCAUAGCCUCCUCCUGUUGUGUCCCCUGCACUCUGGACUUCGUGACCAAGGUGCUCUGCCAGUAGCAUCUCUGAUCACAGAUUUGAUGCCAGCCCUCAAACAGCACAGGUGGGCACCAUGUAUCUGAUGGAAGGAACAGAAGUAUUUCAUGGCAUGUGUUUCUUCUCAGUGGUGCAGGUUUCUCCAAUAGUAACAUGUUUGCUCUGGCCCAGGAGGGCUCCACGUGCCCAGACCAUAUGCAGGAAGAAAAGACUCUCCAAACACAGUUACGGCUUUCAUUCCUCCCACUGCAACCUGUGUGCUCUGGACAAGUGUGACUCAGGUGCUCUGACCUGGAUAGGAACACAAAGCCUCCAGGCACAGAUUCAGUGCUGCCCCCUUCAACUGCAACAGAUGUACUUUGGUCUGAUGUGGCCCAGGUGUUCUGACUAGAGGCAGGAAGAGAAGUAGAUACCUCUAGCACAGCUGUGGCACUGGCCUCUCCCACUGCAACAGAUGUGCUCUGGCUGGACGGGUCCAGGGGAUCAGAACAUAAGUGAGAAGAGAUGUGUCUUCUGGAACAUGUUCCUGCUUACUGAUGCUGCCUCUUCCCUCGGUAGCAGGUGUGUUUUGGCUGGGCUGGCACCAAGAGCUCUGACUAUAGGCAAGAAGGAAAAUGUUUCCCAGGACAUUCGCUCUCAGCAAUGCUGGCCUCUCUGAUUGCAACAGGGGUGCUGUGGGCCAACAGGACCCUGGUGCUCAGAUCUAAGCUUACCCUCUCAUGAGCUGUGGGUACUACGUGUCCCCUCUCCAUUUUGCCCCAAAGCUGAGUGCUCUAGACAUGGAGGUGGCAUCUGGGAUAUACACAGGGUUGCAGAUCCCACAAAGGCAAAUGGGUAUGGAUUAGCAUUGGCAAGAGGUGAGGAAUGGUCCUCAAUGCUGUGCUGAUGGCACUCAGUGACAAUAAAGAAUGGCUGCACUGAUGGAGACAACAACCAGGUGCCACCAUAGGCUGCACCUGGGUGUUGGUAGGGAUGUCAAGGGUGUAUAUAAGGUGUCAAAUUCCCAGAAGCUGACUGAAGGGGGUUGUGUUGCCAUUGGUUUCCAUAGCUGUAGUAGAGGUAAAAUAUAGAGGGAUUUCAGAGGCUUCCAGGUUUUUCUAAGGGAAAGAGCUGUUAAAGCUCGGGGAGAUACAGUAAGGCCAAAGAUGAAAAAGACUGGGGAAUGAGCAUCAUCACAGUCAAAGGCAGGUGGAUGCGGAGUCUGAAGAGCAGCACCUAUUCCCGUAGGCCAGAACAGAUAGGGCAUUGUGGAGAGUGGCUCCAGGUCAAGGCCCAUUAGGACCCCUAGAUUGCAGCUGACAGGUGUUUCCUGGCUCAAAAGGUUAAGGUUGAAAAUUUAGUUAGGGCUGCUGACCAUAACAGUGGGUGGGCUGGUCGAGACUGUGGCCUUUGCAGGGGAUACCUGCUUCACACUGGGAUGAGCCUGGUUAAAUAGGAGGAAGCUCACACUGGCUCCUGGUGGAGACAUGAAGAUGAAAGCUCAGAGGGCAGAGUGGCAUCCAUAUGGGUUGUAACAAUGUUCAAAGCAUGCUGGAAAACCCAGUCUGCAGAUGGGCUGACUGGGGUGGUGGAAGUGACCGCAGAAGCCAUGGUGCAUUGGCUGGUGAACACUGGAGUAGUGGAGGAAGGGACUUGAGGACAGGUCUGUAAGAAAAACAGAGGAAAGUCAACACACCCAGGUGUGUGUGACUAUUUAGGAGCCGAGGCCUACACUGGAGGUGGGCUUUAAGGAGAAGGAAAAAGUUCUAGGAUGUGUGGUAAGGCCAAAGUGGAAGAUCCUGCAGUUGUGACUGAGGGACUGGAACGGAAAGGGUCUCCUAUCUUAUUACUAAGUGAAAUACCACUUAAUAGGGGCUCUAUUUUUGUUAAGUGGAACACUACAUAUAGGUUGGAGUUCAAAGUGAGAAACAGCAAAGGGAGAGUCAGGAUCUGUGCAUCUCUUUUCUGCUACAGGAUAUGUAUAGGGGCAGUUAGGGCUGGUGGCCUGACAGGUCAGCUAUGUUAGUGACUGCUAAUUUGGUGGUAUCCGGAACCUGCAAGGAAAAAGUGGUCAGUGGCAAGGUAGCUGCAGUCUCCACAGCAGGCAGGGAUAACGAACAGGCAGGCUGAGCAGCACUGAUGCCUGAAGGGGCCUUAUUUUUAUCCUCCACAUCUUGGUGUUCCCUUAACAUUCAGCACUCGCUGAGCCCAAGGCCUUUAGCCAUCGCUGUAUGAGAAAGGUAGGAGGUGGGGGACGUGCUCCUUCAUCCCACAACAGUGGCAAUAGCAGCAGCAGUGGCACUGAACGUUUGUUUACAGAGCCUACAACUGGCCGGUGUGAGUGGAGAAUUUCUCUGACAGAACAUAGGGAAGUUUUUUUCUCCAAGUUGUCAUCUUUGACAUCAGUGAGGCUAGAGAGCGAGCUAAUGGCCUUCAUCAAGCUCUUCCUUUCUCAACCUCUCUGACAGCAGGAAGGAAAAUAUGGCUGGGUCACUUCUACAAAAGGGGCAAGUGAUCUCCUGCAGGCAGGACUGGGCUGGUGAUGGUGUGACCUUUGGUGAGUGAGCUCACAGAAGGUCUCUGUGGUGUCAUACCGAAGCCGUGUUCUGGGUUCUGUGUAGAGGCUGCAUGUGAUGACUCCAUUGGUUGUUCGGGGUCCAGAUACUCCUGGUGUGCUCCUACUGUUUGGGGGGCAUUUUUUCCUCAUAAUCCUGCCUUUUCGACACUAAUCAUCUUCCACCUUCAAUAUCCCUUUCCUUUGUGUCACCCCACUCUUUGUUGAACAAAGAUCUGAAGGCUGAGGCCUCACAGAGACAGGACGGCCUGAUUAGGUGACAAAGGAGGAGAGUUAAUUUGUGCCUUGGGGGAGGGAUCUUUACCCUUCCCAAGUGGCUACACCCUUUGAAGUACCAGCAGACAGCAGUGUCUUCUUUAGAGAGUCCCCUCAGGACCUCACAGGGGGUGCUGAGGUCACCUGGGGGGACACUACCUUUCAGGGUGUAAUACCAGGAGUAAGGCACAGGAUCCAGGUGGAACUUCCAGUGAAAAUGUCAAAGACACAGGGGACAGUGGGGUGAUCCCAGACAGAAGAGGAACAGGGUAGGCGGGGUUUUCAACAGUGUAGCGAGGGGCCAGGGCAGGGUGAGUGUGAGGCUUGCUGAGAAAGUUGGCUAUAAAGGGCAUACCAUGUGCUGUCGGGUCCUGGGAGUGUAGUGCAAAAUUUAAAGAGCUCCUCACUUCCCUCUCAUUUGUGGCAAACUGCGCUGUUCAGCCUGCUGCAUGUGACACGUCAUUGGAACAUGAGACAGAGAAAAAGCACACCAGCUAAGGGCAUACCAGCGACAGCCAUGAGGAAUGAGCUCCAAAGGCCCCAGGACAGAGUCCCUCACUGGCCUAAGCCCCAGCAAGACUUAUAGUGCUUCCUCACUUGCCCACUGCCAGUUGCAGGUGUUUGGCAUCAGACAGUUCUGGCGGUGUAGUGGGACUGCUCAAGACUGAAUUCUGAGAGCCUGCGUGACUCUCACCUCCCCGGGUACCAUGUCUAUGGGCACCUCAGCACCAGAAGGUGAAUUUACCUCAGCCUCCUCUUUCCAGGCAACCAGCACAGACACCAGUUAAUCCCCGCAACUACCCGCCCCCUCCAUGCUGGUAGGUCAAGGCUUGCAACUCCCACUUCGUCCAGGGACCUCGUCGGUUCCUGGACCCAGGUGCACCUUUUCGCCCUAAAAAGGCAAAUAUCUCAAGGAUCCCUAGCUGGACUCAGCCCUAAGUUUUCUGAAGUAGAGAUAUGGACAUUACACCACAACACAGCCUUUCCUGGCAGGCCGGCAAUUCAUCACCACUUAUCUUUACAAAUGUAGUGAGACAGCACUGAAGCCCUAGAACCUUCAGAUCACACACAGGAAAUUGGCCCACUCAGAACUUGAACCCAGGCUGUCUGAUUCCAGAACUCAUGCAUUUAAGCACCAAACUGUGGUGCCUCCUCCUGACACAGGCACCAUAUGUUACCAUUUUUUGAUAUUCCACAGGGUACUUAGUACCAUCAGGCAUCCACAGUGAACACAGGUGCUGCCUACUAGGAGCCCUUCUUUGGCUCAAUUCAUAAAUCAGUUGCUGACCACACUGGCCCACAAUUUCAUUAAAAGAUGUAGGGCAGGGACCACCAAUUGUCAGCCCAUCCCUAUCAGGCAUUUCUCUUCAAUAUGAACCUUGUCGCAAACCAUGCAGCUGUGAGCAAUCUCCCCAGUGCCUGAUGGGCACUGGGUGGGUGCUGGAUCUAACCUGGGUUACAAGCAUUAUGUUCCAAGGGCACCAAGUUCUCAAGGAAUCCUGAAGACCAGCUUUCAGUGUCCUAGUUGAAAUUAACAACUGUCAAUAUUAACUUUUCCAGUCCAUGAGUAUGGUCCUACUUUUUCUAUAUAUAGAACUUUUAAAAACUCCUCUCUCAGGCACUUUGUAGCAGGGUUCCACAAAGUAUAGCCCAGGGGCUAAAUUUGGCUCACAGCCUGUUAUUGUAAUGCUGGUGAGAUUAGACUGGUGUCAACUUUUUUUUUUCUUUUUUUUUUAAGGUUGUAAAAACAAAACAGAAGAAUGUGUGAUGGCAACCAUGUAUAAACUGAAAAGCCUGUAUUUCCUGGCUGGUCCUUUACAGUAAAAGUUUGCCAGCCCCUGUUCUGUAGUUUUUGGUACAUUGGUCUUAAAUGGUAUUUGCUGAAUUUCUUUUAAUUGUUUUCUAAGGUUUUUUUCAUGCUGUUGUAAAUGGUGUCUUUUAAUUUUAGUGUUCAGUUGUUUACUGGUAGUAUAUAGAAUAUACAAUUGUUUUUUAUAUAUUGAUCUUGUAUGCUGUUUGAUUCAUUCUCUAUUGCUGGUAGUCUUUUUUUUUUUAGAUUUCUUAGGAUUUUCUGUGUACAUAGAUAAACUAUAAAUUGGUUUUCAUCGGAAUAAAAAUUAAUUUUGGAAAAGUUAACAUCCCUGUGAUGCCAAUUCUCCCCAUACAAGAGCAUUAUUUAGUCUUUCAUCUGUUCAAAUUUUAUUUUGAACUUCUCAAUAAAAUUUUGU